AGCCAGUCUUUUGUGUACGUGCAGGACCAUGGUGGCUUUAGUUUCUACCCCACCCUUCCUAGGAACUCUACUUGUGGCAAACGUAUGUUCAAGCUUACAAGUCAGCCCACCCCACUCUGAUAAAUGCAAGAAAAGCUGAAAAGGGAGGAGCAAGAUGGGAUGAAAGCAUCUGGGCCAAAGUGACCUGAAAACCUUUAGAGAAGAAGCUGCUGGCUGAGAAGGAGGUGUGUGGCUCCGGUGAGACCACCAGCUUGGAGGACUGGUCAUCAGCUGCACGUUCUGGGUCUGUCUUGGGUAUUCCCAUAUGGCCAUGAGAUCCGGGAGGCACCCCUCGCUGCUGCUGCUUCUAGUGCUGCUGCUGUGGCUGCUGCAGGUCAGUAUCAUUGACAGUGUUCAACAGGAAACAGAUGAUCUUACUAAGCAAACAAAGUGUCACUAUAAGUUCCAGGAAAAGAUCUACCAGCCUCUACGGCGAUCCAAGAGAAGAUGGGUUAUCACCACCUUGGAGCUGGAGGAGGAAGACCCGGGACCCUUUCCCAAACUCAUUGGUGAGCUGUUCAAUAAUAUGUCUUAUAACAUGUCACUAAUGUAUCUAAUCAGUGGACCUGGUGUGGAUGAAUAUCCAGAGAUUGGUUUGUUUUCUCUAGAAGAUCAUGAGAACGGAAGGAUAUAUGUUCACCGCCCUGUCGAUCGAGAAAUGACACCAUCUUUCACGGUUUAUUUUGAUGUUGUGGAGCGCUCAACAGGAAAAAUUGUGGAUACAUCCUUGAUUUUCAACAUUAGGAUCAGUGAUGUGAAUGAUCAUGCACCCCAGUUUCCAGAGAAGGAAUUUAACAUCACUGUGCAAGAAAACCAAUCUGCAGGGCAACCUAUUUUUCAGAUGUUAGCAGUCGAUUUGGAUGAAGAAAACACUCCAAAUUCUCAAGUCCUUUACUUCCUCAUUUCUCAAACACCAUUACUGAAAGAAAGUGGUUUCCGGGUUGAUCGCCUUAGUGGAGAAAUACGACUCUCUGGCUGCUUAGAUUAUGAGACCGCUCCUCAGUUUACACUGCUAAUCAGAGCCAGGGACUGUGGAGAACCGUCACUGUCAUCCACGACCACCGUUCACGUGGAUGUGCAAGAAGGCAACAACCACAGGCCUGCAUUUACCCAGGAGAACUAUAAGGUUCAGAUUCCUGAAGGCCGAGCCAGCCAGGGCGUGUUGCGUCUCCUGGUUCAAGAUCGAGAUUCUCCAUUUACAUCAGCUUGGAGAGCAAAAUUCAACAUAUUGCAUGGCAAUGAAGAGGGGCAUUUUGACAUUUCGACUGACCCUGAGACCAACGAAGGGAUAUUAAAUGUUAUCAAGCCUUUGGAUUAUGAGACUCGCCCAGCGCAAAGCCUCAUCAUUGUCGUGGAGAAUGAGGAGAGGCUCGUCUUCUGUGAGAGAGGAAAGCUUCAGCCGCCAAGGAAGGCAGCAGCCAGCGCCACUGUGAGUGUGCAGGUGACAGACGCCAACGACCCACCAGCCUUUCACCCCCAGAGCUUCAUUGUCAAUAAAGAGGAGGGCGCCAGGCCUGGGACCCUGUUGGGAACUUUUAAUGCCAUGGAUCCAGACAGCCAGAUAAGAUAUGAACUGGUUCAUGACCCAGCAAAUUGGGUCAGCGUCGACAAAAACUCCGGAGUGGUCAUCACCGUGGAGCCAAUUGACCGAGAAUCCCCUCAUGUAAAUAACAGUUUUUAUGUAAUCAUCAUUCACGCUGUUGAUGAUGGCUUCCCACCGCAGACUGCUACAGGGACCCUAAUGCUCUUCCUGUCUGACAUCAAUGACAACGUCCCGACUCUCCGGCCACGUUCCCGCUACAUGGAGGUCUGUGAGUCUGCUGUGCAUGAGCCCCUCCACAUCGAGGCAGAGGAUCCGGACCUGGAGCCGUUCUCUGACCCAUUUACAUUUGAAUUGGACAAUACCUGGGGAAAUGCGGAGGACACAUGGAAGUUGGGGAGAAAUUGGGGUCAAUCAGUUGAACUUUUAACCUUGAGAAGCCUGCCACGUGGUAAUUACUUGGUGCCACUCUUCAUUGGAGACAAACAGGGACUUUCCCAGAAGCAAACUGUCCAUGUAAGGAUCUGCCCCUGUGCCAGUGGGCUCACAUGUGUGGAGCUUGCAGAUGCAGAAGUGGGGCUUCAUGUGGGGGCCCUGUUCCCUGUCUGUGCAGCAUUUGUGGCUCUGGCAGUGGCUCUGCUUUUUCUGUUGCGAUGCUAUUUUGUGCUUGAACCUAAGAGGCAUGGAUGCUCUGUAUCCAAUGAUGAAGGCCACCAAACACUGGUCAUGUAUAAUGCGGAGAGCAAAGGCACUUCAGCCCAGACAUGGUCAGAUGUUGAAGGCCAGAGGCCGGCUCUGCUCAUCUGCACAGCUGCAGCAGGACCCACGCAGGGAGUUAAGGAUCUCGAGGAAGUGCCUCCAUCUGCAGCGAGUCAGUCAGCCCAAGCACGCUGUGCUCUGGGGAGCUGGGUGAGUUCCAGAAGGUUGCUCCCUGCUACGGCCAUCUCACUAGUGACUAACAGUUGGUCCCCCUGAGAGAGGGCCGUUGUAGAAGAUUCGGUGAUACUGUCAGAAAAAGGCACAUAGUCAAUGAAAAUCUGAGAAGCUGGGCUUUUUCCACCCGACUCUAUUUCCAUCUAUAGAACUAGGGUUAUGGCAAGCCCUUUGAGCCAAGAAGUGUGAAAAACAUACACUCUACUCCUGCUUACCCAGAUGCCACAAUGCACAGACAACUCCUGGCUCCGGUGGAAGGAAGGAUGGCAGAGACAUUGAAUCAGAAACUCCAUGUUGCCAAUGUGCUGGAAGAUGACCCCGGCUACCUACCUCACGUCUACAGCGAGGAAGGGGAGUGUGGAGGGGCCCCAUCCCUCAGCUCUCUGGCCAGCUUGGAACAGGAGUUGCAACCUGAUUUGCUGGACUCUUUGGGUUCAAAAGCGACUCCGUUUGAGGAAAUAUAUUCAGAGUCAGGUGUUCCUUCCUAAAAAAAAAAGUCUAUUUUGGAGAAUUGAAAUAAUUCAUGGAAGGGAAUCACUAUUCAGGGAUUUUUCCCCUUUGCUCUUCUUUUCCCUCCUUAAAAGAAAAAUUACCUUCUAGUCCUAGGAUGAGGACACACUAUUAGUUUGAAUUAAAUGCUUUGAUAUUCUCAGAUCAGCCAUCUUGAACCAAAGCAAAACCACAAGUUACACUUUCUUAAAAUUUGAUUUGUCAUAUUUUCUAGAGAAACUUGAAUUUAAUUGUGUUAUUCUUAGCUUCCACUGGCAGCCUAGCUUUGAGGGUAAAUGAAAAUAUAACCCAUAGAUUACCCAGCCACUUGGGAACAGCAGGUAAUACUGAAGAAAAAUAAAAAUAGAUUUUGAAAACGUUACUUACAUUUCUAUGAUUAUGAUUCUGCUUCCAUUUAAGGGAAAACUUAGGUAAAUAGAGAAAUUUUUUCUAUAACAUUUGUAGUCAGUAUUUGAAGUGAUUUUUUAAAAAAUAAGUAUUGGUCCCUGUUCACUUUUUGAUUAGAUAAAUAGAUAAAAUAUGUUAUCUUGAGAAAAAUGAUUAUGCUGAAAGCUUUAUAAACAGUAUACUCUUUAAAAAAUGAAGAGCUGACAUAAUUUAACUUGUAUGUAUUAUGUAAGUAAAAGAGUUAGGAGCCUUUGAAUGAGUAAGUUCUGAUUAGAUUUUAUCUUUAAACAAAACCACAAAAUUUAAUUGGUUUUUACUUGUCCACUUACUGCUAGUGUCAGUUUCAGGGGAAGAAAUGGUUUCUUUUAAAAAUCUUAAUAGGGGACAUAUGCCCUAAAAAUAGUCAGUUUUCUAGUCUGAGUAAUAGAUAAGAGACUGACUAAGCAAAGUUUAAAAUGCUAUUUGGACACUUUAAUGCACAUAUUGGAUAUCUAAAAGUCUACAGCCAUAUAAAAAUUUUAUAUAAUUAAUGAGCAAAUGCCGUCUCUCAUGCCCUAAAAUAAAUCAGUAGAAACAUGUUUGCUGGUGAAUCAGUGAAGCAUUAUGUUAAACAGUGAGUUACAGCUCAGAGUUAAAACUUUCUCCUUCUUUUUGAAGAAGCUGUGCAAAUACUUCUUUUUAAGGAGAUCUGGCCUUUUCCUACCUGGUUACCUCAGUCUUCCUCUGCUUUGGGAAGCUGAAAAAGAAGAAAAAUCACAUUUAAAGCACUGGAAUGUCUGAAUGGGACGCUUGAAUGUGUAGAACAGCUGUACUGAUCCUAGCAUGACUCAGAGGACAGUCUAGGGCAUUUUCUGGGUAAUUCAGGAUAAAAGUAUUUUUUUUUUUAAGAAAAAUACAUGUUUUUGGACAACAAAACAAAGUAAACAUUAGUUUAUUCGAUUGCCUCCUUAUACUUGCCUCUUUCAUUCUGUCCCCUGUAGAUUUUUAAAAAAUUAUCUCAUUUUAAAACUUUAUUAUUUCAUUUUAAAUAAUUGACAUAUAAUAAUUGUACAUAUUUAGGGGGUACAUAGUCAUGUUUCAAUACAUUUACAGUGAUCAGAUCAGGGUGGUUAACGUAAUCAUUGGCUCAAACAUUUUUCAUUUCUUUGUAUUGGUACGGAGCAUUCAAUAUCCAUCCCCCUUCUAGCUAUCUAAAACUAUGUAUUAUUGUUAACUAUAGGCAACAUAUAAUGGUAUAGAGUGCUAGAACGUAUUCCUCCUAGGAAUAAUUUGCUGUAAUUUUGUAUCCUUUAAUAAAUCUCUCCCUAUCCCUCUUUCCCCCCACCCUUCCCAGCUGCUGUGUCCUCUGUUCUACCUUCUACUUCCGAGAUAAACUUGGUUUUAGCUUCCA